rnacentral:rRNA from 1 species
GCUUGCUGGGGGAUUAGUGGCGAACGGGUGAGUAACACGUGAGUAACCUGCCCUUGACUCUGGGAUAAGCCUGGGAAACUGGGUCUAAUACCGGAUACGACCAUCUGGCGCAUGUCAUGGUGGUGGAAAGCUUUUGUGGUUUUGGAUGGACUCGCGGCCUAUCAGCUUGUUGGUGGGGUAAUGGCCUACCAAGGCGACGACGGGUAGCCGGCCUGAGAGGGUGACCGGCCACACUGGGACUGAGACACGGCCCAGACUCCUACGGGAGGCAGCAGUGGGGAAUAUUGCACAAUGGGCGCAAGCCUGAUGCAGCGACGCCGCGUGAGGGAUGACGGCCUUCGGGUUGUAAACCUCUUUCAGUAGGGAAGAAGCGAAAGUGACGGUACCUGCAGAAGAAGCGCCGGCUAACUACGUGCCAGCAGCCGCGGUAAUACGUAGGGCGCAAGCGUUAUCCGGAAUUAUUGGGCGUAAAGAGCUCGUAGGCGGUUUGUCGCGUCUGCUGUGAAAGACCGGGGCUCAACUCCGGUUCUGCAGUGGGUACGGGCAGACUAGAGUGCAGUAGGGGAGACUGGAAUUCCUGGUGUAGCGGUGAAAUGCGCAGAUAUCAGGAGGAACACCGAUGGCGAAGGCAGGUCUCUGGGCUGUAACUGACGCUGAGGAGCGAAAGCAUGGGGAGCGAACAGGAUUAGAUACCCUGGUAGUCCAUGCCGUAAACGUUGGGCACUA